AUUGAACGCUGGCGGCAUGCCUUACACAUGCAAGUCGAACGGCAGCACGGGUGCUUGCACCUGGUGGCGAGUGGCGAACGGGUGAGUAAUACAUCGGAACAUGUCCUGUAGUGGGGGAUAGCCCGGCGAAAGCCGGAUUAAUACCGCAUACGAUCUACGGAUGAAAGCCGGGGCCCUUCGGGCCUCGCGCUAUAGGGUUGGCCGAUGGCUGAUUAGCUAGUUGGUGGGGUAAAGGCCUACCAAGGCGACGAUCAGUAGCUGGUCUGAGAGGACGACCAGCCACACUGGGACUGAGACACGGCCCAGACUCCUACGGGAGGCAGCAGUGGGGAAUUUUGGACAAUGGGCGAAAGCCUGAUCCAGCAAUGCCGCGUGUGUGAAGAAGGCCUUCGGGUUGUAAAGCACUUUUGUCCGGAAAGAAAUCCUUGGCCCUAAUACGGUCGGGGGAUGACGGUACCGGAAGAAUAAGCACCGGCUAACUACGUG
rnacentral:rRNA from 1 species